rnacentral:rRNA from 1 species
UACGUAGGGGGCAAGCGUUGUCCGGAUUUAUUGGGCGUAAAGAGCUCGUAGGCGGUUUGGUAAGUCAGGUGUGAAAUCUCCACGCUCAACGUGGAGGGGCCACCUGAUACUGCCAUGACUGGAGUCCGGUAGAGGAGUGUGGAAUUCCCGGUGUAGCGGUGAAAUGCGCAGAUAUCGGGAGGAACACCCGUAGCGAAGGCGGCGCUCUGGGCCGGUACUGACGCUGAGGAGCGAAAGCCAGGGGAGCGAACGGG